GCUCUCUCACCUGUCUGCAGACGGCGGAGGGAGUGGCAGCUCUGCUGAUGGAGAGAGGCGGUGUGCAGGAAGGAGAUCACGUCGCUCUGGUGUACUCGCCAGGUAUAGACCUGAUCGCAGCCCUUUACGGCUGCCUGUACGCCGGCUGAGUUCCCAUCACAGUGCGACCGCCUCACCCUCAGAACAUCUCCACCACCCUGCCCACUGUUAAGAUGAUUGUCGAGGUGAGUCACUCGGCGUGUGUGAUGAUGACCACCGCCGUCAUCUGUAAGCUGCUGCGCUCCAAAGAGGCCAUGGCCACGGUGGACAUCAGGAACUGGCCCCCAGUCCUGGACACCGGUACAGCGUUUCAUUCAUAUCCGCACAGGGAAAUCACGCUCGCAUUAGGCUGUCUGUGUGCAGAAACAACAUCACAUCAGAGGGUCUGCUGUUGUUGGCUCGGGCUGUGAAAUCCAGCUCGACUCUGACUCACAUCUACAUCUGGGGAAACCACCUGGAGGAGCCCGUAUGCCAGGUACACCCCUCAGAUGUCUGUUUCAUCUUCUCCUCUAACAUCCCAUCACCCCUCUAACAGAUCCAUGCCAUAAAAGUGCACAUGAGUAUUAUACACAACAACAUCAGCAUCAGCACCCUGCAGACACACAGGUUAGAUGUGACUAUAACGGCUUCAUCAGAUUUGGACUCUCAGAGAAUAAAAACCGUUCAGAAGUCGCCUGAGAAUGAUCAAGAUUUUAGGAUUUCUACACAGUUGAACAAAUUCCUUGAUAUUCAUCAGUGUGUUUAAUUGUUCACAGCAUUUAGAGACUGUUCAUAUUUAAUUCUGUAUAGUUUAUGUUGCUUUUAAAUUAAUCCCUAAA